UACAGAGGGUGCAAGCGUUGUUCGGAAUUAUUGGGCGUAAAGGGAGUGUAGGCGGUUUGAUAAGUCUUCUGUGAAAUCUACGGGCUUAGCCUGUAACGUGCAGAGGAAACUGUCAGACUUGAGUGUCGGAGAGGAUAGGGGAAUUCCAGGUGUAGCGGUGAAAUGCGUAGAUAUCUGGAGGAACACCGGUGGCGAAGGCGGCAUCCUGGACCAAUAUUGACGCUGAGGAGCGAAAGCAAGGGGAGCGAACGGG
rnacentral:rRNA from 1 species